rnacentral:tRNA from 1 species
GUUCAUGUAGCUUAAUAGUAUAAAGCAAAGCACUGAAAAUGCUUAGAUGAGUCUUUAAGACUCCAUAAACA